rnacentral:tRNA from 1 species
UCCUUGGUGGCUCAGAUGGUAAAGAAUCUGCCUACAAUGCAGGAGACCCAGGUUUGAUCCCUGGAUUAGGAA